AGUACUGUGAAGGAAAGGUGAAAAGAACCGUGAAUAACGGAGUGAAAAAGAUCCUGAAACUGUGUGCCUACAAGCGGUCGGAGCCUACGGGUGACGGCGUGCCUUUUGCAUAAUGAUCCUACGAGUUACUCCUCAUUGGCAAGGUUAAGAAUUUAAGAUUCGAAGCCGAAGCGAAAGCGAGUCUGAACAGGGCGACAUAGUCAGUGGGGGUAGACGCGAAACCUUGUGAUCUACCCAUGGCCAGGUUGAAGUUCCGGUAACACGGAAUGGAGGACCGAACCAGUAAGCGUUGAAAAGCUUUUGGAUGAGCUGUGGGUAGGGGUGAAAGGCCAAUCAAACUGGGAAAUAGCUC
rnacentral:rRNA from 12 species